AUUGAACGCUGGCGGCAGGCCUAACACAUGCAAGUCGAGCGAGCGGCGGACGGGUGAGUAAUGUAUGGGGACUGCCCGAUAGAGGGGGAUAACUACUGGAAACGGUGGCUAAUACCGCAUACUAUCGGAUAACCCAUAUGGGAUUAGCUAGUAGGUGGGGUAAAGGCUCACCUAGGCGACGAUCUCUAGCUGGUCUGAGAGGAUGAUCAGCCACACUGGGACUGAGACACGGCCCAGACUCCUACGGAGGCAGCAGUGGGGAAUAUUGCACAAUGGGCGAAAGCCUGAUGCAGCCAUGCCGCGUGUAUGAAGAAGGCCUUCGGGUUGUAAAGUACUUUCAGUUGUGAGGCGUUAGCAACAGAAGAAGCACCGGCUAACUCCGUGCCAGCAGCCGCGGUAAUAC
rnacentral:rRNA from 1 species